rnacentral:lncRNA from 1 species
UCCCUAGAAACCAAACACCCCCAUAGUCAAACCAUAUCACAAUUCAUUUCAAAAAGCUCAGUGCCCAGCCAUCCAUGCAUAUGCGAUCGAGCUAGUGUUUGAUAAAGUCAGUAUCCCUUCCAUCUCUUUAUUAUUGAACAAACGUUAAGUUUAUUUAUUUUAUUGAGUGUAUCACAUAACCCCUGCUCUAGCUUGAUUGCUCUCAUGGCGGGCAGCAGCACUCGUAUUUGCUGCCCUCAUGCUUGCAGUAGGCAGACUUGGUCUUGUGCUUGGCGGACAGGCAUUGCAAGGCGCAUGUCGCGGUCGUGCAGUGGUCCGCGUCAUUCUUGAGAGGGUCCACGCACGGUGUCGCAUCUAGCUGCUGAUCGCAGCCACCAAUGCCUGCACAUGCUGCCUCACUCGUCAGUGAUCAGUCAGUCUUGAGAAGGAGAAUAAUACUGUAGAAAAUAAAGUAAAGUAGGGUCGGUGAUGGUGCCUACAGCUUCGUCCGGCUUCGUAGCACGGAGACGUUGAAGACAGGACCGCAAAAACCAGGAAUAGGACGAUUGUCGUCUUGAACACCGCCAUGAGAAGAAGAGGAUAUAUAGAUCGAAUUCCCUAGUGAUGUGUGCGCUGGAGAAGAGUAUGUGUAUCUAUAUUUGUUCUCCAUUUUAGCUAGUGUACA